rnacentral:lncRNA from 1 species
UGAAGUUUGCUUUUACUUAACUUUUUUCUUGGCUAGGUAUUGAAAUUUAUCUCUAACCAGAAGAUCCCGUAAACAAAAAAAAUCCCUCAAGAGUAUGUAUACAACAGAGCCUGGAUAUAUAUUCUUACAAUCUAAAGCAUGCACAGUUGUAACCAAAUUUAAUUAAAUUAUUUUUAGCUUAGAUUAACCUUGGAUUUUUGUAAACAAUAUGGAGUAGAGUAUAUUGACUGAAAAAUUCUCUUAGUGUUCAAAUGGUAUAUAAUUUUAGAUUGCUACAUUCAUUUUUUUUUUUUGCGUGUAGUUUUCUUGAAUAAUCUUUUCCAUUUGUUGUGUGGGGGUUGAAUGAUUCAUCUAUAGAAAAUGAAACUCUUAUAUCUUUUACAAUAACUUAUCAUGUAUUAUAAUAUUAUAUGUAAGAUAUAUGCUAACGUCGUUUUGUAUAUUAAUGGUGAUGAAGAUAUG